CGUGGUAACCUGCUCAUACAGGGGGAUAACAGUUAGAAAUGACUGCUAAUACCGCAUAAGCGCACAGCAUCGCAUGAUGCCGUGUGAAAAACUCCGGUGGUAUGAGAUGGACCCGCGUCUGAUUAGCUAGUUGGUGAGGUAACGGCCCACCAAGGCGACGAUCAGUAGCCGACCUGAGAGGGUGACCGGCCACAUUGGGACUGAGACACGGCCCAA
rnacentral:rRNA from 1 species